AAAUUGAAGAGUUUGAUCAUGGCUCAGAUUGAACGCUGGCGGCAGGCCUAACACAUGCAAGUCGAACGGUAGCACAGAGAGCUUGCUCUCGGGUGACGAGUGGCGGACGGGUGAGUAAUGUCUGGGAAACUGCCUGAUGGAGGGGGAUAACUACUGGAAACGGUGGCUAAUACCGCAUAACGUCGCAAGACCAAAGAGGGGGACCUUCGGGCCUCUUGCCAUAAGAUGUGCCCAGAUGGGAUUAGCUUGUUGGUGAGGUAACGGCUCACCAAGGCGACGAUCCCUAGCUGGUCUGAGAGGAUGACCAGCCACACUGGAACUGAGACACGGUCCAGACUCCUACGGGAGGCAGCAGUGGGGAAUAUUGCACAAUGGGCGCAAGCCUGAUGCAGCCAUGCCGCGUGUAUGAAGAAGGCCUUCGGGUUGUAAAGUACUUUCAGCGGGGAGGAAGGUGUUG
rnacentral:rRNA from 1 species